GGUGGGUUGGCUCAGUGGUUAGAGCGUAGGUCUUGUAAUUGAAAGGUUGCGGGAUCGAAUCCACAAAAGGCUG
rnacentral:tRNA from 1 species